GUGGGGAAUAUUGGACAAUGGGCGAAAGCCUGAUCCAGCCAUGCCGCGUGUGUGAAGAAGGUCUUCGGAUUGUAAAGCACUUUAAGUUGGGAGGAAGGGCAGUAAGCUAAUACCUUGCUGUUUUGACGUUACCGACAGAAUAAGCACCGGCUAACUUCGUGCCAGCAGCCGCGGUAAUACGAAGGGUGCAAGCGUUAAUCGGAAUUACUGGGCGUAAAGCGCGCGUAGGUGGUUUUGUAAGUUGGAGGUGAAAUCCCCGGGCUCAACCUGGGAACUGCCUCCAAAACUGCAUGACUAGAGUACGGUAGAGGGUAGUGGAAUUUCCUGUGUAGCGGUGAAAUGCGUAGAUAUAGGAAGGAACACCAGUGGCGAAGGCGACUACCUGGACUGAUACUGACACUGAGGUGCGAAAGCGUGGGGAGCAAACAGGAUUAGAUACCCGGGUAGUCC
rnacentral:rRNA from 1 species